UAGGGAAUCUUCGGCAAUGGGGGCAACCCUGACCGAGCAACGCCGCGUGAGUGAAGAAGGUUUUCGGAUCGUAAAGCUCUGUUGUAAGAGAAGAACGUGUGUGAGAGUGGAAAGUUCACACAGUGACGGUAACUUACCAGAAAGGGACGGCUAACUACGUGCCAGCAGCCGCGGUAAUACGUAGGUCCCGAGCGCUGUCCGGAUUUAUUGGGCGUAAAGCGAGCGCAGGCGGUUUAAUAAGUCUGAAGUUAAAGGCAGUGGCUUAACCAUUGUUCGCUUUGGAAACUGUUAAACUUGAGUGCAGAAGGGGAGAGUGGAAUUCCAUGUGUAGCGGUGAAAUGCGUAGAUAUAUGGAGGAACACCGGUGGCGAAAGCGGCUCUCUGGUCUGUAACUGACGCUGAGGCUCGAAAGCGUGGGGAGCAAACAGGAUUAGAUACCCUGGUAGUCCACGCCGUAAACGAUGAGUGCUAGGUGUUAGGCCCUUUCCGGGGCUUAGUGCCGCAGCUAACGCAUUAAGCACUCCGCCUGGGGAGUACGACCGCAAGGUUG
rnacentral:rRNA from 1 species